CCCUUAGAUGUUCUGGGCCGCACGCGCGCUACACUGACUGACUCAACGAGUUUACAACCUGUGCCGAAAGGUAUGGGUAAUCUUUUGAAAUUCAGUCGUGAUGGGGCUAGAUUAUUGCAACUAUUAAUCUUCAACGAGGAAUGCCUAGUAAGCGCGAAUCAUCAGUUCGCGUUGAUUACGUCCCUGCCCUUUGUACACACCGCCCGUCGCACCUACCGAUUGAAUGGUCCGGUGAAGCCUCCGGAUUGGCGCGCACCUCGGUGCCGCCGAGAAGUUGGCUAAACCUUACCAUUUAGAGGAAGGUGAAGUCGUAACA
rnacentral:rRNA from 1 species